AAACUGGAGAGUUUGAUUCUGGCUCAGGACGAACGCUGGCGGCGUGCUUAAGACAUGCAAGUCGUACGAGAAAGCCUCUUCGGAGGUGAGUAAAGUGGCGCACGGGUGAGUAACGCGUGGGUAAUCUGCCCUCGGGUCUGGGAUAACCCCGGGAAACCGGAGCUAAUACCAGGUAAGACCACGACGACCUCGGUCGAUGUGGGAAAAGGUGGCCUCUCCUUGGAAGCUAUCGCCGGAGGAUGAGCCCGCGUUUGAUUAGCUAGUUGGUGAGGUAACGGCUCACCAAGGCUCCGAUCAAUAGCUGGUCUGAGAGGAUGAUCAGCCACACUGGAACUGAGACACGGUCCAGACUCCUACGGGAGGCAGCAGUCGGGAAUAUUGGGCAAUGGGCGAAAGCCUGACCCAGCAACGCCGCGUGAAGGAUGAAGGCCCUCGGGUCGUAAACUUCUGUCGAGAGGGAAGAACGCGUACGGGUGAAUAAUCCGUGCGUCUGACGGUACCUCCAAAGGAAGCACCGGCUAACUCCGUGCCAGCAGCCGCGGUAAUACG
rnacentral:rRNA from 1 species